rnacentral:rRNA from 1 species
UACGGGGGGGGCAAGCGUUGUUCGGAAUUACUGGGCGUAAAGGGCUCGUAGGUGGCCAACUAAGUCAUACGUGAAAUCCCUCAGCUUAACUGGGGAACUGCGUCUGAUACUGGUUGGCUUGAGUGCAGGAGAGGAACGCGGAAUUCUCGGUGUAGCGGUGAAAUGCGUAGAUAUCGAGAGGAACACCUGCGGCGAAGGCGGGUUGCUGGGCUGACACUGACGCUGAGGCGCGAAAGCCAGGGGAGCGAACGGG